rnacentral:lncRNA from 10 species
CUUAAACCCAGGAGGCGGAGGUUGCAGUGAGACGAGAUUGCGCCAUUGCACUCCAGCCUGGGUGGCAGAGUGAGACUCCACCUCAAAAAAAAGAAAAAAGGAAAACCAAGCAAAAGUCACUGUCAGGGGACCUCCCACCCACCAUACAGGGGAACACUCGGCAGAGCCAGAGGCCUGGGCCCAAGUCCUGCCACCAGCUGGCUGUGAAACUGUGGUACAGCACCUUGUGUCCUGCCACCAGCCGGCUGUGAAACUGGUACAGCACCUUGUCCUCAGGUCCUUGGUUUCCUCACUUGUAAAUUCAUGGUUCUCCAUGGCAUCUCUGGUCUUCAACAUUAUUUUGCAUAGAGUCUCAGAAGCUUUAGUGUGAGCGGAUGAUAUGGGCACGAAGCAAGGCACCCAGAAGUGGGGGCAACUACUCUGCUUUCUAAAAUGCAAGGGAACCGGAAAAUCCAGGAGCCGUGCCAAAUGAGAAGAGGAACAAAUGGAGGAACAUCCCAGUCAAGUGACAUUCCUAGUGACAUUCACCAGAACAGAGUCAAGCUUUGGAUCCCAUGUUCUGUGACUUCCUCUUCACCACGCUUCCUCCACACACGUAGCAGCUCAAGGGUUUCUGAUGAGUGGGGUUGACUGGUUAUUUCUUUCUUGCAACCAGAGGCUUGACUAGAAUUGAAUUCGAGACAAGCACAAAGAUCAUGAUGCAAAUGAAAGGGACAGAGGGGAGAGAAACAGAAAACAAGUGAGUCAAAUUUGAGCAUUGCACCCAGUGGAGAAGCAUGUGUGGCCAGGGAGCUGCAUGAAGGUGAAAUCAGAACCUGUCCUUGGAGCACUCCUGGAAGUAUGAGCAGGGGUGCAGUCAGGACGGCCUGACUCUCUGACCCUGUGACUGAGCCACAGGGGUCUCUUCUAUGCUUCACUGUGCUUCUUCAAUCUUGCCAUCACUGUGUUGAAAAAGCAUCCCUGGGCAUUUGUGGUGAAGCCAUUGGCAGAGCAUCAACAGUCUUUCCAAUGUACCAGUCCCACAGGGACCAGCCCCGGCUCCUUUACUUGGUUCAUCAUCCCACAAAAAAGGCUCCAGAGUGAUGAGUGGAGGGAAUGUGUAUACAAGCUGGGAGAUGCUUCAGGGAUGGGGCAUGACUCUGAGAAGCUCCACAUGCAAAACAGGGUUAUGAUGGUCUAGGAGCCAGCUGCAGGGAGGUGGGCAGCCAGGAGGUGGGCUGGGGCUAUCAGGGGAGUGACUGACUGCAAGGGCAGGCUCAAGGUGAAACUUUGAGAGGCAGAUCCCAAGGCCCUUGGAUCUGGCCUGUUACAGCAAAUGGAGGAGUAAGGCAGAAAAGUCCUCUAGGGCUGUCUUCUACUCUCUCCUCCAACAGAUUUUCACUGAGCAUUUGCCAUGAGCCAGACUCUGUUAGCUGUUGAGGUUUCAAGGGAAGGUAGAAAAGACAGAAGCAAACCAAUGAUAAAGAUAUCUAUUGUCUUUUAGUGACUUUCAUACACGCUCCCUCUCUUUUUUAUUCUGUGCAUCUCAUUAUCUAAGGGCUCGUUUUGUACCAAAUGCUUUUAUACAUCAUCUCAUUCAAAUCUCUCUGAGGUUGGAAAUGCUAUUUUUGUUUUACAGCUGUAAAAACUAAGGCCAGAGAGGGAAAGUGAGUGACCCAGGGCCCCACAGCUAGACAGAUUCAAAUCCAUGGGGUCUAUCUUAGUGACAAAGCUGGCACAUUUCUUCCCCUCCUUGUGCCUGCUGAGGUUUUUUUGUUUUGUUUUGUUUUGUUUUUUGUUUGUUUGUUUUGGCUUUUAACAUUUUACAAUAUUUUGCUAUUUUUUCCUAAUCAGGCAAUAUACAUAAAUAUUUUAACAAUCAACUAGUUUAAGAUUUAUGAAAAACAGCGUUUUCUUGCCCACCUUCUCCCAAUUCUUCCUGCUCCCCAGAGGCAGCCACUUCCAAAUGUUAGCCAGUUCAAUUCUACAUGUAAUAGGAGAACGGCAAUUUUUAUUGAUGUGUUGAUUUGAGACAUUUGGCAUCUUCCGGUGAUGAAGUUUUGUCUCUCUCUACUGGACACCAUCUGCCUCUUCCAGAUGUAUUCUUCUCACCCUGGGCAUUCUCCCAAGAGGCUGACCUGUAGGAACGCAGUGAACAGGCUACCUGAUCACUGGCUUCUGGGUUGGGUGUGGCUCAUGAGAGACAUUGGCAGGAGACUGGAUUGGAGGAAGAUGCAGGGGCCAGAGUGUUUACUCUCCUAGAUAAGCCCCUUCCUCCUCUUCUGGCAGGCAGUGCUCUCCAUAUAGCCGCUCUCUUAGGUUCUAGAAAUUGCUCCUACCUUGCCCUUGAGCUCUCAUGCCUAGAGGUGGCAAUGACUGCCUGCUACUGUCAGUGCUAGGUACUGCACUCUGUUUUCCUAAACCCUUUUCACACUUUUAUGAAUAGUCUAUUCAUUACAAUUAGAUACAACUUACCCCCACACCAUCCCCAUACAACUAUACACUCCCCUUCCAGUAUCCUCUCAAUAUAAUUAUAUCAUAUUUGUUGACAUCAUUAGUUGGACAGUAUUUACAUUAUUAAACUAUAUAAAUAUUGCUGACUACAUAGCCAAGUAGAGAGUUAUCAGUCGUGAUUGCAUUUCCUUUUCUAAACUAAUUUUUGUUUUUCCUGCGUUUAACUGCCCAUUUUAAAAAAAGACUUAGUUUUCAAUACAUAGGUCUUUAAUUCUUUCCACACACACCAUCAGACAUGUUAAAUGCAUGUACAUGUUGUUUUCCUGUUUCAAACAUUGUAAAUUCUCUGUAUCUUUUUCUUUGGGUGGGGGGCAAGUGUGAAGUAAACCAGCCUCCAGAAUAAAUAGAACUCAGUGUUAUGGAUUCUAAAAUUAAAAUCUUAACAAAUUAACAAAGUGAUGAAAACAGGAAGUUUAGCUCUCAAGGAUCCUUUAUUGGUCUUAAAGGUUUUACUCUCUUUGGCAAAUAUUGUGACCACUUUAUAGAUGCUACAUAUUCUACUAGACAAAUACUAUGACCUCUUUCAAAGUGUAUCAUCAUUCCCCUUUUAAAUAGCACAUUCGAAGUGUGCUGACUUUUAGUUCUAGGGUCUGCCUUCCCCUUACCUGCUGAGUGUCACAGGAUCUCUUCCCUCCUUGAUUAUCUCAAGGAGAUACAUCAACUUUUGGUUCAUAAAAGAAAGUCAGUCGCUUUUAUUUGUUAAAGACUUGAAGUAUGGGCUGGGCGUGGUGGCUCACGCCUGUAAUCCCAG